rnacentral:lncRNA from 1 species
AUUUAUUUCUUAGUCUAAUAUCUCAAUUAGUAGCAUUUCUUUCUGCAGUUUAAAGUAGUACAUUUUUUCCCCCGACACAAAAGGCAAUCUGAAACAAAGUUGACAGCCCAUGCACCCUUCAACACCUUUACAUGUUUCAUUUGAUUGCUCCUUGAUGAUCGCCCACACUGCCAAAUUAUAACCAAAAAAUGCUAUCCAGAACAGCAAAUUAAAUGCAGAAUUCAACAGCCAACUAUACUCAGGAACGUAAUUUUUUUUCCUUUUCACAGAAGAAAAUGUAAUACGAUCAUGUUCAAAUUUGAGUUAAAAGAAGCAUAUAAAUUCAUUAAAAAAAUUAAAAUAAAUUGAAGAUAUUUGUAUACGACACAUGUAUGUAUUUCAAGGUUUGAGAAAGUGACCUUAGAAGUGGGAAGGGCUGGUAUAAAUAUAUUCUGCUUAAAAUGGGCCAAGUUUUAUUGGUUUAGUGAGGAAAUGGAGGGUUAUUUUUCCCAUGUUUAGAAAUCAAUCAUCCCCUGUAAUUAAGGCAUGGGAAAUUGAAGGUGGUUAUGGGUCCAUCCAUCACAUGCAUCUCCUGCCCUUUGCUUUGCAUGAUUGCAGACUACUACAUUGUUUUUUUAUCUUUCUUAUUCACCAUAUAUAUAACUACCAAUAAUCAAGUGUCACAUGGUACUUAUGUGAGCUCUCACCUCAUCUAACCCAAAACAUUAAUGGAAUUAAUUAAAAUCCAAAUCAACUUGCCUCCUCCACUUUUGUAAAAAUGUUCCCAUUUUGAAUGAUCCUUUUAACUCAUUCUCUCCCAUUUU